GAUGAACGCUAGCGGCAGGCUUAACACAUGCAAGUCGAGGGGCAGCAUAGAUUGUAGCAAUACAAUUGGUGGCGACCGGCGCACGGGUGCGUAACGCGUAUGCAACCUACCCGUCACAGGGGGAUAAUCCGGAGAAAUCUGGUCUAAUACCCCAUAACAUUUGGAUCGGCAUCGGUUCAUGUUGAAAUUUUCGGAGGUGACGGAUGGGCAUGCGUAGCAUUAGCUUGUUGGUGAGGUAACGGCUCACCAAGGCGACGAUGCUUAGGGGGACUGAGAGGUUUUCCCCCCACACUGGUACUGAGACACGGACCAGACUCCUACGGGGGGCAGCAGUGAGGAAUAUUGGUCAAUGGGCGCAAGCCUGAACCAGCCAUGCCGCGUGCAGGAUGACGGCUCUAUGAGUUGUAAACUGCUUUUGUACGAGGGUAAAGUGGGUUACGUGUAACCUUUUGAAAGUAUCGUACGAAUAAGGAUCGGCUAACUCCGUGCCAGCCGCCGCGGUAA
rnacentral:rRNA from 1 species